GGGAAUAGCUCAGUUGGUAGAGCACAACCUUGCCAAGGUUGGGGUCGCGAGUUCGAAUCUCGUUUCCC
rnacentral:tRNA from 2 species